UCCGACGGUGCUGUGACGCCCAGUUAUUACCAAGAACUCAUUUUUUCUACUCAGUCCUGGAGACAUAAGAAUACUGAAUUUAAGAAUAAGAGGUCACAGCCAUCCACACAGCCAUUCCCACCUGUGACACCACCAAACUCGCCCAUCCUCCUGUCCACUUCUAACACCACCACAAGCAGUCACAGUACCAAGAAGCCCUUCUCUGCUGUUCCUCUCCUCUCGUCCAUGCGGCAGCAAGUUAUUCUAGUGGAGAGUAGUGCUUGUUUCACUUCUUUGCUGUGAUUUGCUAUAUUUGAUGACACUAAACUUUUAUAACGCUUUUUUCUUUUUAAAUGGUAAGAUUAUUUUAUAUCUGACUUUAUUUUGCAGCUUACCAGAACUGAAACAAGAACAUAACAGGAGAGGCUGCUACCACUACCACCACCUCUCAUGGCUACAACAGUAAAAGGAGUGCAGAAAACCAUGUGGUUCCUUCCUGUUCCUCUCCUCACAUUCUGGUGCAGCAGUGCAUCAUGUAUCAUCACUUAUUUGCUUUGGUACAUAUCAUGAGGUAUUCUUUUGCUAUAUGAAAAUUUCUUUCUCAGCAACACAAGAGGAGUAGGAUCCUGGCUGUCCUGGCCUGCCCACCCAACUUUUGAGGAUAAAAUAG